rnacentral:rRNA from 1 species
GGGGAAUAUUGCACAAUGGAGGGAACUCUGAUGCAGCGACGCCGCGUGAGUGAAGAAGGUUUUCGGAUCGUAAAACUCUGUCCUUGGUGAAGAUAAUGACGGUAGCCAAGGAGGAAGCCCCGGCUAACUACGUGCCAGCAGCCGCGGUAAUACGUAGGGGGCGAGCGUUGUCCGGAUUUACUGGGCGUAAAGGGUGAGUAGGCGGUAAUAUGUGUCAGAUGUAAAAGGCUAUGGCUUAACUAUAGUUAGCAUUUGAAACUGUAUUACUUGAGUGCAGGAGAGGUAAGCGGAAUUCCUAGUGUAGCGGUGAAAUGCGUAGAUAUUAGGAGGAACACCAGUGGCGAAGGCGGCUUACUGGACUGUAACUGACGCUGAGUCACGAAAGCGUGGGUAGCAAACA